AUGCAGGUGAAUAUAUGUCCACUUAGCAUGUUUUUGAGCAGUAAUAUGUCCCCCUUCCUCCCCCAGGACUCUCUGCCUUUUAACCCUCCCAUGCCCAGCGGAUGCACGCCUGUGAUUUCGCUGUCACACAGCUCCGAGGAGCCAAUCCCCAUAGUAACAGGGCAUCCACACGUGAAUUCAGAACUGCAGCAGGUCCCAGCACUGCAGCGCUCAGCAUGGGCAUGUAGGCAGCACCAGGGUGCAUGUGCAUAUGUGUAUAUAAAAGCAAUCCGUGCUUGCUCAGCAAAUAUCUGCACCAGGCAGGGAAGGUAAUACGUUGACUGAGAUAUAAAACCUGAACACACCGUGAAACAGAAAUGUAGCACAAGAAGGCAUAUACUGGUGAUACCGAUUAAUUACAGGGAAGCACGUAACACGACAACAGCUACCUCUCUUUUCUGAAAUAAAUAAAUAAAUGCUAAAUUGUCA
rnacentral:lncRNA from 1 species